UAGGGAAUCUUCGGCAAUGGGGGGAACCCUGACCGAGCAACGCCGCGUGAGUGAAGAAGGUUUUCGGAUCGUAAAGCUCUGUUGUUAAGGAAGAACGAGUGUGAGAAUGGAAAGUUCAUACUGUGACGGUACUUAACCAGAAAGGGACGGCUAACUACGUGCCAGCAGCCGCGGUAAUACGUAGGUCCCGAGCGUUGUCCGGAUUUAUUGGGCGUAAAGCGAGCGCAGGCGGUUAGAUAAGUCUGAAGUUAAAGGCAGUGGCUCAACCAUUGUACGCUUUGGAAACUGUUUAAAUUGAGUGCAGAAGGGGGGAGUGGAAUUCCAUGUGUAGCGGUGAAAUGCGUAGGUAUAUGGAGGAACACCGGUGGCGAAAGCGGCUCUCUGGUCUGUAACUGACGCUGAGGAUCGAAAGCGUGGGGAGCGAACAGG
rnacentral:rRNA from 1 species